CAUUGAAUGGCUGAAUAAAAGUGAUGUGGCUGAAUAAAAGUGAUGGUCUCUUAAACCA
rnacentral:tRNA from 1 species